UACAGAGGUAGCAAGCGUUGUUCGGAAUUACUGGGCGUAAAGGGCGCGUAGGCGGUCCUGUAAGUCCCGUGUGAAAUCCCCCGGCUCAACUGGGGAAUGGCACGGGAGACUGCGGGGCUUGAGUUCGGGAGAGGGACGCGGAAUUCCGGGUGUAGCGGUUAAAUGCGUAGAUAUCCGGAGGAACACCGGUGGCGAAGGCGGCUUCCUGGCACGACACUGACGCUAAGGCGCGAAAGCUAGGGGAGCAAACGGG
rnacentral:rRNA from 1 species